UACGUAGGGGGCAAGCGUUGUCCGGAUUUCUUGGGCGUAAAGAGCGUGUAGGCGGCUUUACAGGUCCGUUGUGAAAACUCGAGGCUCAACCUCGAGACGCCGGUGGAAACCGUAAAGCUAGAGUCCGGAAGAGGAGAGUGGAAUUCCUGGUGUAGCGGUGAAAUGCGCAGAUAUCAGGAAGAACACCCGUGGCGAAGGCGGCUCUCUGGGACGGUACUGACGCUGAGACGCGAAAGCGUGGGGAGCGAACAGG
rnacentral:rRNA from 1 species